rnacentral:misc_RNA from 1 species
UACGGAGGGUGCGAGCGUUAAUCGGAAUUACUGGGCGUAAAGCGCGCGCAGGCGGCCUGUUAAGUCAGAUGUGAAAUCCCCGGGCUCAACCUGGGAAUGGCAUUUGAGACUGGCAGGCUAGAGUGUGGUAGAGGUGAGUGGAAUUUCAGGUGUAGCGGUGAAAUGCGUAGAGAUCUGAAGGAACAUCAGUGGUGAAGGCGGCUCACUGGGCCAUUACUGACGCUGAGGUGCGAAAGCGUGGGUAGCAAACAGG